rfam:Salmo salar isolate Sally breed double haploid chromosome ssa21, whole genome shotgun sequence.
AAUGCACCAAUUUGUAAGUCGCUCUGGAUAAGGGCGUCUGCUAAAUGACGUAAA